GAGUAACACGUGAGCAACCUGCCCUGGACUCUGGGAUAAGCGCUGGAAACGGCGUCUAAUACUGGAUAUGAACCACGAAGGCAUCUUCAGUGGUUGGAAAGAUUUUUCGGUCUGGGAUGGGCUCGCGGCCUAUCAGCUUGUUGGUGAGGUAAUGGCUCACCAAGGCGUCGACGGGUAGCCGGCCUGAGAGGGUGACCGGCCACACUGGGACUGAGACACGGCCCAGACUCCUACGGGAGGCAGCAGUGGGGAAUAUUGCACAAUGGGCGGAAGCCUGAUGCAGCAACGCCGCGUGAGGGAUGACGGCCUUCGGGUUGUAAACCUCUUUUAGCAAGGAAGAAGCUUUUGUGACGGUACUUGCAGAAAAAGCGCCGGCUAACUACGUGCCAGCAGCCGCGGUAAUACGUAGGGCGCAAGCGUUAUCCGGAAUUAUUGGGCGUAAAGAGCUCGUAGGCGGUUUGUCGCGUCUGCUGUGAAAUCCCGAGGCUCAACCUCGGGCCUGCAGUGGGUACGGGCAGACUAGAGUGCGGUAGGGGAGAUUGGAAUUCCUGGUGUAGCGGUGGAAUGCGCAGAUAUCAGGAGGAACACCGAUGGCGAAGGCAGAUCUCUGGGCCGUAACUGACGCUGAGGAGCGAAAGGGUGGGGAGCAAACAGGCUU
rnacentral:rRNA from 1 species